rnacentral:rRNA from 1 species
GGUUCAGGAUGAACGCUGGCGGCGUGCCUAAUACAUGCAAGUCGAACGAGGGUGCUUGCACCCUAGUGGCGAACGGGUGAGUAACACGUAGGUAACCUGCCCUUAAGCUUGGGAUACCCAGAGGAAACUUUGGCUAAUACCGGAUAACAACAGAAGAGGCAUCUCUUCAGUUUGAAAGGCCCUUUACGGGGUCACUUAAGGAUGGACCUGCGGCGCAUUAGCUAGUUGGUGAGAUAACAGCCCACCAAGGCGAGGAUGCGUAGCCGACCUGAGAGGGUGAUCGGCCACAUUGGAACUGAGACACGGUCCAAACUCCUACGGGAGGCAGCAGUAAGGAGUUUUCGGCAAUGGGGGAAACCCUGACCGAGCAACGCCGCGUGAGUGAUGACGGCCCUAUGGGUUGUAAAGCUCUGUUGUAAGGGACGAAUGAUUCGCUUAGGAAAUGAAGCGGAUUUGACGGUACCUUACCAGAAAGCCACGGCUAACUACGUGCCAGCCGCCGC